ACGAAGGGGGCUAGCGUUGCUCGGAAUGACUGGGCGUAAAGGGCGCGUAGGCGGCUAUGUCAGUCAGGCGUGGAAUUCCUGGGCUCAACCUGGGGACUGCGUUUGAUACAACAUGGCUAGAGUUUGGAAGAGGGUCGUGGAAUUCCCAGUGUAGAGGUGAAAUUCGUAGAUAUUGGGAAGAACACCGGUGGCGAAGGCGGCGACCUGGUCCUUGACUGACGCUGAGGCGCGAAAGCGUGGGGAGCAAACAGGAUUAGAUACCCUGGUAGUCCACGCCGUAAACGAUGUGCGCUGGAUGUUGGGUGACUUAGUCACUCAGUGUCGUAGCUAACGCGAUAAGCGCACCGCCUGGGGAGUACGGCCGCAAGGUUG
rnacentral:rRNA from 1 species